CGGACGGGUGAGUAACGCGUGGGUAACCUGCCUUGUACAGGGGAUAACAGUUGGAAACGGCUGCUAAUACCGCAUAAGCGCACGGCAUCGCAUGAUGCAGUGUGAAAACUCCGGUGGUAUAAGAUGGACCCGCGUUGGAUUAGCUAGUUGGUGAGGUAACGGCCCACCAAGGCGACGAUCCAUAGCCGACCUGAGAGGGUGACCGGCCACAUUGGGACUGAGACACGGCCCAA
rnacentral:rRNA from 1 species